AGAAGAUGUCGCUCACCGGCAUUUUACCUGCACCUACUCAGCUGUCUCAGGACCAGCUUGAGGCUGAAGAAAAGGCAAGAUCCCAGAGAUCAUGGCAGAUCUCACUGGUCUCUUCCCGAAGAGAACCUCCCCCAUAUGGGUACCGGAAAGGCUGGAUACCUCGGUUAUUAGAGGAUUUUGGAGAUGGAGGAUGCAGAAAUCCACGUGGCCCAGUAUCCAUUGGAUAUGGGACAAAAGAAAAAAAUGUCAAAUGCAUUGGCCAUUCAGGUGGAUCCUGAAGGGAAGAUUAAGUAUGAUGCAAUUGCCCGACAAGGACAGUCAAAAGACAAGGUCAUUUAUAGCAGAUACACUGACCUGGUUCCAAAGGAGGUUAUGAACGCAGAUGAUCCAGACUUACAAAGACCUGAUGAAGAAGCUAUUAAAGAGAUUACAGAAAAGACAAGGGUAGCCUCAGAAAAAUCUGUAUCACAGAAGGUUGCCGCAGCCAUGCCAGUUCGAGCAGCUGAUAAACUGGCUCCUGCUUGGUAUAUCCGAUACACACCACCUUAGCAAGGAGUAGCUUUCAACUCUGGAGCUAAACAGAGGGUUAUUUGCAUGGUAGAAAUGCAGAAAGACCCAAUGGAGCCUCCAAGAUUCAAAAUCAGUAAGAAAAUUCCCCAGGGACCACCUUCUCCUCCUGCACCUGUCAUGCAUUCUCCUAGCCGAAAGAUGACUGUCAAGGAACAACAAGAGUGGAAGAUUCCUCCUUGUAUUUCUGACUGGAAAAAUGCAAGGGGUUAUACAAUUCCAU